rnacentral:tRNA from 1 species
UCCCUGGUGGUUCAGUGGCCAAGAUCCUGGGCUCCCAAUGCAGGGGGCCUGGGUUUGAUCCCUGGCCAGGGAA